rnacentral:rRNA from 1 species
UACGAAGGGGGCUAGCGUUGCUCGGAAUCACUGGGCGUAAAGCGCACGUAGGCGGCUUGUUAAGUCAGGGGUGAAAUCCUGGAGCUCAACUCCAGAACUGCCUUUGAUACUGGCGAGCUUGAGUUCGGGAGAGGUGAGUGGAACUGCGAGUGUAGAGGUGAAAUUCGUAGAUAUUGGGAAGAACACCGGUGGCGAAGGCGGCGCUCUGGACCGAGACUGACGCUGAGGCGCGAAAGCGUGGGGAGCAAACAGG